GUCACACAAAAGAAUUCCUUCACAAGGUGGCUGGCAUGUGGUUUGAAUUAGGUAGGGAUUAGGAUUUUGAUUUCAAACCCUUUUGAAUUCAAAUUAAAACCAACUCUUCAUUAUCCAUGGAGGGUGACAACUAGAGGUUUUGUUGGAGUUUUUCUCAUGCACAAACUCAUUUUCUAUGAUGAGAAGUGGUAUGGAGAAGAGAUGUGGCGC
rnacentral:lncRNA from 1 species